GCCUGGGUGGCUUAGUUGGUUGAGCAUCUGACUUGGGCUCAGGGUUUGUGAGUUCAAGCCCCACAUUGGGCU
rnacentral:tRNA from 1 species